CAGCCGCCGCGGUAAUACAGAGGGUGCGAGCGUUAAUCGGAUUUACUGGGCGUAAAGCGUGCGUAGGCGGCUUCUUAAGUCGGAUGUGAAAUCCCUGAGCUUAACUUAGGAAUUGCAUUCGAUACUGGGAAGCUAGAGUAUGGGAGAGGAUGGUAGAAUUCCAGGUGUAGCGGUGAAAUGCGUAGAUAUGCGGAGGAACACCGAUGGCGAAGGCAGCCCCCUGGGCCAACACUGACGCUCAUGCACGAAAGCGUGGGGAGCAAACAGGAUUAGAUACCCCGUGUAGUCCCUGUCUCUUAUU
rnacentral:rRNA from 1 species